GUUGCCACUGGGUUUCUCCCCUACAGGACACCUGGGCCUUGCGCCAGCUGGGACCUCCCCGGGGCUGGCAGCGGAAUGGCGAACAGUGCUCAUGGUCCAGCACAGGGAUGCAGCGAAGUGACCAAAACAUGUCAGAAACACAGAGAUCAGAGGCGUGUCUUUAGCCCCACCUAUCCCCCGUUUCACUUAGCUUGCUCAGGAAUGGACAAAACUGCCUAAUUUUUUAUGACUGACAAACCAAAAUGCUCAGUGGAAUAUUCCAAUACCCAUGGAAAGGUGGCUGAGGAGCGCUACCGGAGGAGCCCGGGAUCCCCGAGGUGCAUCAGUCCCGAAAUAAGGGAGAGCAGCAGCAUCGCUCCCGGCCACCAAAGGUACACUCGUUUCGGUCAAUAGCAUUUUUUUCCCCCACUUCCCCUCGGUGUUUGCUAAAGGGCGCGGAGCUGCGUGCGAGUCCCACAGCCGGAGGAGAAAGGAAACGCGAAGAGCUUCUUCCAGCGGACGCUGCUCCCCUUCCCCUCCAUCCUGCGGGGUGAG
ensembl:lncRNA